CACCUUCAACGCAGCUAUUAAGGAGAAGAUGAAUGAAGAAUCAGAAGGAACCUCAGCUGUUGCAUCAGCCAGUCAAAGAACUACACUGGACCUCAGCCAUGUGGCCUCGCAGCGAUCCCCUUUGAUGAUUUGUCUGCUGCCUUCGCCCAAAGACCGCUCCCCCCAUCUGUUUUCGAGGAGCCGGGGGCGGAGUCAGGGCUCGCCAUGGGCCAACCUUUGUUCCUCGAGAGCUUUGAUGGAGCAGUCGAAGGAGCGGCCAGCUUCCAGCAGUUCUUCCAUUCUUGGAAAACCUCUCAGUCAGUUCUGCCGGAGCAGCCUGAGACCUCUAGAGGACCGGAUGGAAACCCAAUGAAGAGGAGGAGAACGUUACACCAGACUCACCUGUUUAUGUGGUUCUACUUGUAAAAUGUAUAUCACUCUUACAACACUUAGAACUAACUUAUUAAGAUCCUUUAUUUACAAAAAAUUAACCUGAGAAUGAAUAAAAAAAACGGAUUACAAGCACAAGCAACAGUGUUUACUAUAUCAUAAGGUGCACCAGAUUAUAAAGUCAAUGAAUGGUUUAUUUUUGAGCUUAUGUCAUAUAUAUAUCAACGUAUUCUCACUCCCAACUGUUCAUAUAUGGACGUAUGGUUCUGGCCUCCUACGCGCCACUUUUUGACGUUUUGGGUGUCCCCAACUCCUCAUUUUUAGACAUGCUGGCUGAUCCCAUUAAAUCAUGGGUGCCCAACCCUAGGGACGCAGUACCAGACACAAAACCGGUGCUGGGUUAGGGUACUGGUCCAUGACAGGUCCGGUCUAUGUCUCGGUUCCGGACCUGUGCUGAUCCGCGUCCCUAGGGUCGGGGACCCCUGGUUAGCAUAUGCCUUUUGUCUGUGGCCCAGCACCAAGUGGCCCUCGGACCGGUACCAGUUUGUGGCCCAGAGGUUGGGGACCUGGUUUAAUGGGAACAGCCAGCACAUUAAAAAACAACGUUUAUCGUGUUGAAAAUACAGUAAAGAAAAAUGUUGCACAUCUCAUGUUUUGCAGAUGUUAAAUUAAUGUAUUGUAGAGUAGGGAACGGACAGGAGAAAUUGAGUGCUGCUGAAAAAAACAGAUUACAGGCCUUUCAGAGGGUCGGAUUCUGUUUUCUGUGACAUGAACCCGAAGGUAGGAUGGUCAGGUCAGUACAGACUAUGAUGAGUCAAACUCAGCUGACAUGUCAUGAACGUUUAAACAAGCGUUUGCCUUCAGAACUCACUGAAAAGUUGCCAAAAAAAACAA